GCCCCUGUGGUGAAAUUGGUAGACGCGCCGCACUCAAAAUGCGGUAUCGAAAGAUGUGCUGGUUCGAGUCCGGCCAGGGGCACCA
rnacentral:tRNA from 1 species